rnacentral:rRNA from 1 species
UAGGGAAUCUUCCACAAUGGACGCAAGUCUGAUGGAGCAACGCCGCGUGAGUGAAGAAGGUUUUCGGACCGUAAAGCUCUGUUGUUGGUGAAGAAGGAUAGAGGUAGUAACUGGCCUUUAUUUGACGGUAAUCAACCAGAAAGUCACGGCUAACUACGUGCCAGCAGCCGCGGUAAUCGUAGGUGGCAAGCGUUGUCCGGAUUUAUUGGGCGUAAAAGCGAGCGCAGGCGGAAGAAUAAGUCUGAUGUGAAAGCCCUCGGCUUAACCGAGGAAUUGCAUCGGAAACUGUUUUUCUUGAGUGCAGAAGAGGAGAGUAGAACUCCAUGUGUAGCGGUGGAAUGCGUAGAUAUAUGGAAGAAUACCAGUGGCGAAGGCGGCUCUCUGGUCUGCAACUGACGCUGAGGCUCGAAAGCAUGGGUAGCGAACAGGAUUAGAUACCCUGGUAGUCCAUGCCGUAAACGAUGAGUGCUAAGUGUUGGGAGGCUUCCGCCUCUCAGUGCUGCAGCUAACGCAUUAAGCACUCCGCCUGGGGGAGUACGACCGCAAGGUUGAAAC